rnacentral:rRNA from 1 species
AACGAACGCUGGCGGCAUGCCUAACACAUGCAAGUCGAACGAGACCUUCGGGUCUAGUGGCUCACGGGUGCGUAACGCGUGGGAACCUGCCCUUAGGUUCGGAAUAACUCCCCGAAAGGGGUGCUAAUACCGGAUAAUGUCUUCGGACCAAAGAUUUAUCGCCUUGGGAUGGGCCCGCGUUGGAUUAGCUAGUUGGUAGGGUAAAAGCCUACCAAGGCGACGAUCCAUAGCUGGUCUGAGAGGAUGAUCAGCCACGCUGGGACUGAGACACGGCCCAGACUCCGACGGGAGGCAGCAGUGGAGAAUAUUGGACAAUGGGCGAAAGCCUGAUCCAGCAAUGCCGCGUGAGUGAUGAAGGCCUUAGGGUUGUAAAGCUCUUUUACCCGGGAUGAUAAUGACAGUACCGGGAGAAUAAGCACCGGCUAACUCCGUG